UACGUAGGGUGCAAGCGUUAAUCGGAAUUACUGGGCGUAAAGUGUGCGCAGGCGGCUUCGCAAGUCGAGUGUGAAAUCCCCGAGCUUAACUUGGGAAUUGCGCUCGAAACUACGGAGCUGGAGUGUGGCAGAGGAAGGUGGAAUUCCACGUGUAGCGGUGGAAUGCGUAGAGAUGUGGAGGAACACCGAUGGCGAAGGCAGCCCUCUGGGCCGACACUGACGCUCAUGCACGAAAGCGUGGGGAGCAAACGGG
rnacentral:rRNA from 1 species